rnacentral:rRNA from 1 species
AUUGAACGCUGGCGGCAUGCCUUACACAUGCAAGUCGAACGGCAGCACGGGAUCAAUCCUGGUGGCGAGUGGCGAACGGGUGAGUAAUAUAUCGGAACGUGCCCAGUCGUGGGGGAUAACGCAGCGAAAGCUGUGCUAAUACCGCAUACGAUCUAAGGAUGAAAGCGGGGGAUCGCAAGACCUCGCGCGAUUGGAGCGGCCGAUAUCAGAUUAGCUAGUUGGUGGGGUAAAGGCCCACCAAGGCGACGAUCUGUAGCUGGUCUGAGAGGACGACCAGCCACACUGGAACUGAGACACGGUCCAGACUCCUACGGGAGGCAGCAGUGGGGAAUUUUGGACAAUGGGCGCAAGCCUGAUCCAGCAAUGCCGCGUGCAGGAUGAAGGCCUUCGGGUUGUAAACUGCUUUUGUACGGAACGAAACGGCCCUUUCUAAUACAGGGGGCUAAUGACGGUACCGUAAGAAUAAGCACCGGCUAACUACGUGCCAGCCGCCGCAGUAAAAC